AUGAGAUGUUCCUCUCAUCGUGCAUUGCUUUCCUCCUUCUUUUCCAGUGCAACAAGCUGAAGCAGUGGAGAAAGGCAAGUUUCUGUUGAGAACCUUCUGAAGAGAUGGUGGAACAAACUGAAGCACUGGGUGAGCCUUCCCCAACCCAAAGCAAUGAGGGUUUCCCAUGGGAUCACAAGCUGUCCCACCUCAGCAUCCGUUGCUUUUCUCUUUCUUUUCCAGAAAAACCAUCUGAAGAAUUGGACUGAGAGAUGAUCUGCGCCUCACAGUAACCACAGGAGUUGAGCUUACCAGAUCACUGAUUGCAUUGGGUAAAAAAAAAAAAACAAACAUGAUAACUCCAAGCGAGCAAGGAAAUCCUCAGUGGAAACAAGAGGAGCCAGGGUUUGUUCUGAGUGAGAACACUGCAGUUCUGUGAGCCAAAGCUGCUUGAGGGACAACAACCUGAGCAUGUGCGACCUCCAGCUGAAAUUUAAUUGGAUGAAAGAAAACACAAAAGGAAGAAAAUGGGAGGAGAUGGAGAUCCUGGAAAAGGGACGGACAUUUUGGGAAAUAGUGUGAUCAUGCAUCAGGCUUCGUGGGAAUCUAAUGAGUACAUAACACUUCCGGAAAUAUAAGAAUGCAUGCCGAACCCGAGGUAGAAAACUGCUUUGGGUGUUAACCCUCUUGUCUCUCACUACAGAAUAAAGCACACCUGCUGAUGGCAAUGCA